rnacentral:rRNA from 1 species
GAAACCCUGACGCAGCGACGCCGCGUGAGUGAUGAAGGCCUUCGGGUCGUAAAGCUCUGUCUAGUGGGAAGAAGUGCAUGGGGGUUAAUAGCUCGUGUGUUUGACGGUACCACUAAAGGAAGCACCGGCUAACUCCGUGCCAGCAGCCGCGGUAAUA